rnacentral:lncRNA from 1 species
AUGAUUUAAAAAUACAAAGCAUGAAAGCAAUAACAAGUCAACUGCCAGAAAUAAUUUGAGUAUGAAUGUUAUUAUGUCAAUAUCUGAGUUUUGGUACCCACCACAGCUUUCUAUGGAUGUUUUAUGUACUCUAAAGCAGAAUCAUUUUGCUACUAUAUUUAUAUCUCAGAGUUUCCAUUCAGUUUUCCUCCAAAUUAAUUAAUAUGGAGAAUUUCCUAAACAAUGAAGCUGAAUGAAGCCCACCAUUAAUCCUAUGAAUAAAAACCAACCAAUAACUAGUCAACCGCAAAAAAGAAUCAAGUAUGAAUCUUGAUAUCUGAAUUUUGGUGCCCACCACGGCCUUCUAUGGAUAUUUUAUAAACUCUAAA